ACUACAAGAACAUUAUGCAGUUGGAAUCAAUGGGGUCCAUGGUGCAGGGGCAGGCUGCAAUUAUGACCUCAAUAGACAUCAGGUCUUUUCUGCCUCUGAGACAGGGAAAGUGUGAGAGUAUCAUGGGAGGGAAAUUGCUGAUGGGAGAUAAAGUCCAGGGUUCUUAGAAUGCACAAUUGAUUACUACAUCUUACAACAGGUCAAGCCCAAAAUCACAAAAGAUAGCAUCUUCCCGCGUCCAGAUGGACUGCCCUAUGUGCCUGGUCCUCACCUGGAUGACAUUUUGUGACCAGAAGAAGAAGGCCAA